CUACGGGCUGCAGCAGUGAGGAAUAUUGCACAAUGGGGGGAACCCUGAUGCAGCAACGCCGCGUGGAGGAUGGCGCAUUUCGGUGUGUAAACUCCUUUUAUAUGUCAAGAAAAUGACGGUAGCAUAUGAAUAAGCACCGGCUAACUCCGUGCCAGCAGCCGCGGUAAUACGGAGGGUGCAAGCGUUACUCGGAAUCACUGGGCGUAAAGGACGCGUAGGCGGGUUGGAAAGUCAGGUGUGAAAUCCUACAGCUUAACUGUAGAACUGCACUUGAAACUUCUAAUCUAGAGUAUGGGAGGGGGAGAUGGAAUUAGUGGUGUAGGGGUAAUAUCCGUAGAUAUCACUAGGAAUACCUAAAGCGAAGGCGAUCUCCUGGAACAUUACUGACGCUAAGGCGUGAAAGCGUGGGGAGCAAACAGGAUUAGAUACCCGCGUAGUC
rnacentral:rRNA from 1 species